UUGGACAAUGGGGGCAACCCUGAUCCAGCCAUCCCGCGUGUGCGAUGAAGGCCUUCGGGUUGUAAAGCACUUUUGGCAGGGAAGAAACAGCCUGGGCUAAUAUCCCGGGCGACUGCCGGUACCUGAAGAAUAAGCACCGGCAAACUACGUGCCAGCAGCCGCGGUAAUACGUAGGGUGCAAGCGUUAAUCGGAAUUACUGGGAGAAAAGCGUGCGCAGGCGGUUCGGAAAGAAAGGUGUGAAAUCCCAGGGCUUAACCUUGGAACUGCACUUUUAACUACCGGGCUAGAGUACGUCAGAGGGGGGUAGAAUUCCACGUGUAGCAGUGAAAUGCGUAGAGAUGUGGAGGAAUACCGAUGGCGAAGGCAGCCCCCUGGGAUGAUACUGACGCUCAUGCACGAAAGCGUGGGGAGCAAACA
rnacentral:rRNA from 1 species